rnacentral:rRNA from 1 species
UGGCAUAUUCAAAAAGCGGAGGAAAAGAAACUAACAAGGAUUCCCCUAGUAACGGCGAGUGAAGCGGGAAGAGCUCAAAUUUGAAAUCUAGUAGCCUUCGGCUGCUCGAGUUGUAAUCUAGAGAAGUGUUUUCCGUGCCGGCCCAUGUACAAGUCCCUUGGAACAGGGCGUCAUAGAGGGUGAGAAUCCCGUCCUUGACAUGGACCCCCGGUGCUCUGUGAUACACUUUCAACGAGUCGAGUUGUUUGGGAAUGCAGCUCAAAAUGGGUGGUGAAUUCCAUCUAAAGCUAAAUAUUGGCGAGAGACCGAUAGCGAACAAGUACCGUGAGGGAAAGAUGAAAAGCACUUUGGAAAGAGAGUUAAACAGUACGUGAAAUUGUUGAAAGGGAAACGAUUGAAGUCAGUCAUGCUCUUUGGUAUUUAUAUCAUUGAGUGGGGUCAACAUCAGUUUUGAGCGAUGGAUAAAGGCACUAGGAAGGUAGCACUCUCGGGUGAACUUAUAGCCUAGCGUCAUAUACAUUGUUUGGGACUGAGGAACGCAGCAUGCCUUUAUGGCCGGGAUUCGUCCACGUACAUGCUUAGGAUGUGACAUAAUUCACCAGCCUU